GUGUAUCGUGAUCAAACGAAACAUGCUUCAGAGAAAAGGCGCCUGAGACUUGCCGAGGAGCGAGAUGCAAAUAGCGCUUACCUGCAAUUGAAAACUCUUAAUUGGUCAGACAAAGGAGAAAAUGCAUCAGCUUUAAACAUAAAUAUAUUAUGCAAGAUGUUGAUUAAUUAUGCAUGCAUCGGCGGGCUACUUCAUCUUUUCUGUGGGGUAAAAGUUUUACCAAGAAAAUGAAAUAAAAAUUACACUUUUUUGUUUGGUCUGAUCUGAAAUUAAGUGGAAAUGAUUUUUUGGUGGUAAAGGCAUCUAAUUCUGCUCCUUAUCGAUGAUCUAGACAGAUUGAUCCGUUACAAGCGAUUGGAUUUGACAGUAAAAUAGCAUAUAAAAUUAAUUAUAUUACUGAAGGUACCAUAGUGUGUAAAAAAAAGUACCAGGAGAGAAAGUUACAUGUUUUAAAUUGUUUAAAAGCAGGUUGUGUCUGUUCUGCGAGUAGGAAGUGUCUAAAUUGUUAUUGAUUUUUAAUAGCUUUUGAAUAUUUUCAAAUACUAGCAAAUAUUUGGCAGCUGACAAUCCUGGGGGUGAGAGUCAGCCAGCUAUUUUACAGGCGUAGCUUGUUCCACUCCACCCCCCAGUCAAGCAGCAGAGUCGUUUACGACUGGAACAGGUUCACAAAUAAAAUCCUCGGCACACGGGCCCCCGAAGAAGAUGGGCAGCCCGCCACUGGCAGUCAGUCCUGGUCCAGACUUAUGUCGGGAUAGGUCUGGGCUUGUGUUAGGAUGUAUCUGGUUUGUGCCAGAAUAGAACUGGGAAUUGGGCCAAACAGCAUAAGAUCAGCGCAAAAAUAGAAUUGCGAUUUUUUUUGCAAGAGAGACUCGGGAUUGUGCCAACAAAGGCUGGGAUUAUGCCAGGAUUUUAUUCUGCAUUGAAUUCUAUUUCAAUCUAAUUAUACGGCUUCUAUUGUACUGAAAAGGUUGCAGCAGCAAAAGCGGCGUUACCUGUAAGUGUUGAAUAGGACCAGACUCUUGGAUCAGGGCUCCCAGCUAUUUUUAUGCCAUGGACCAAUACCACUGAGCAAAAGAGCCCCUGAUCAGAAGUGACAGCCGAUUUUGCCUACUCUCCGCGAUCUUCAGUCCUCUUUCCAGGGUGCCGGAGCCUCUUGUUGUUCCUGAUUGCUGGCCCAGAUCGACUGAACAGGCAGAGAGUCAGUGGGGAUGAGGGCCGACUUUGCUCAUUUUCAGUGAUGGUUAUCUCCAUGGCGCUGAGGCUAUGAAGACUGCUGCUCCGUGCCCGCUAAUAUGAUGAACUAAUAACUGAGGCUUUGGGCCUACACCGGGCCGCUCCGGGGUUUGAAUCUGAGGACUCAAUUUGGUUCGGAAUGAUGUUGUCGCUUCAAUUGCUUGCAUGAUUUGUCGUUUUUUUCUUUCUCUUGUGCAUCAACUGUUAGUCUUUUAUUUUUUUUAAAUUGGGCUCUUUGGGGUUUCUUGCUUUGUGGCUACUGUUAAGCAAACAAAUCUCAAGGCUGCAUUAAUUUAUACAUUCUUUGAUAAUAAAUACACUUGAAUCUUGAA